AACUGGUUAGCUCAGUUGGUAGAGCACUCCACUGGAAAUGGAGAAGUCCCUGGAGGACCACGAGAAUUUUUUUUCAGUCA
rnacentral:tRNA from 1 species